rnacentral:rRNA from 1 species
GUGAAAAACUCGUUCGCCGGAAGACCAAGGGUUCCUGUCCAACGUUAAUCGGGGCAGGGUGAGUCGGCCCCUAAGGCGAGGCUGAAAAGCGUAGUCGAUGGGAAACGGGUUAAUAUUCCCGUACUUGUCUUCAUUGCGAUGUGGGGACGGAGAAGGUUAGGUUAGCAGACUGUUGGAUGUCUGUUUAAGUUGGUAGGUGGGGAGCUUAGGCAAAUCCGGGCUCCUAUUAACACUGAGAGAUGAUGACGAGUUUCUACGGAAAUGAAGUAACUGAUACCACGCUUCCAGGAAAAGCCACUAAGCUUCAGAUGAAGAUAAACCGUACUGAAAACCGACACAGGUGGUCAGGUAGAGAAUACUCAGGCGCUUGAGAGAACUCGGGUGAAGGAACUAGGCAAAAUAGCACCGUAACUUCGGGAGAAGGUGCGCUGGCGUAGGUUGU